rnacentral:rRNA from 1 species
UACGGAGGGGGCUAGCGUUGUUCGGAAUUACUGGGCGUAAAGCGUGCGCAGGCGGUUCCAUAAGUCAGGAGUGAAAUCCCCGGGCUCAACCUGGGAACUGCAUUUGUUACUGUAGAUCUAGAGUACGGAAGAGGGGGGUGGAAUUCCGAGUGUAGAGGUGAAAUGCGUAGAUAUGGGGAGGAACACCAGUGGCGAAGGCGGUCCACUGGUCCGGUACUGACGCUGAGGCGCGAAAGCGUGGGGAGCAAACAGG